rnacentral:lncRNA from 1 species
CUUUAAAUAUUGAUGUGUAUGUGAAGACUUUCUAAAGUGCCCAGAUGGACAUCUCCAACUGUGUUUCCCUGCUAAUGUUUGCUUUCUUUGUUCUGAUUGGCAGCUGCUGGGCUCCAGUCAAGUACAUUGUCCCUCCUGAUCACGACUGCUCUGAAGGCAGGGUAGCUGUCUGAUGUGUCCUGCUGGCACCUGAGUACUUCAGGCUGAAAGGAUUAUCCUGUUGCAUUGUAAACAACCACUAAACCUUCUAAAGAGAUUUCUCAUCUGCACUGUUUUGCUGGUGAGUUGCUUGAAGCCUGAUGCUAUAAAGAUAAUAGAAUUAGCAGACCUAGCAGGCCUCAUUAUUUUUAAUUACUAUUACUGCUGCUCACACACUACAUGUAAUUUGGUAAUGCUGGAGUGGGGUGAGGGGAGGGAACCAAUUCUGUAUUUCAGAAUGGUCCAUCAUAGAAGUGUUUGUUGUCAAAUCCAUCUGUGAAUUAUGUAUUUCUUUCAGAUUUAUCUUUUAAAUAAUAUUCUGAUCAAAUCUCAGAAACUCAACCUAACAAUAAGAAAAGGGAAUGCAGACCAUAAAUAGGUCAAAAUCAAAGUACCUUCAGCUCACAGUUUGGUUCAUUUAUCAAAGCAAAAUCAAUUGUUAUUAUUAGCCUAUUAUCAUCAUCCUUCCAGUGAGCUGGCUUCAUUUUAAUCAAUAUUUCUAAUUAGUCUACAUCAAAUACAGUUUUUUUAGUCUACAUCAAAUACAGUUUUAAACUGUAGCAACUCAGCUCAGUGUAGGCUAAAUAUAUAUGUUUCUGUGUCUCUUCUUUCCAUUAUUCCAUUAUUCUUUACAAAUAAGUAAUAAGCAGCUACGUGAAAAACAUAUUUGUAACAGUUAUGCAUCAGAGUCAAUAAUGGAUUACCUACUGUGUUAAAAUGCUGUUUGUCUUUUAUUUGUAUGAACUAUAUGCUUUAAAUAGUGCAUCGUGUAAUAAGUUACUCAUCAUCAAAUAACUUCAAAUAAUCAUCACUGAAGUUUCCAUCUCAGCAAAGAGAAACUGAGGAUCAGUGCUCUGUGCCAUGGUUUCUACUGGCUAAUUUUGACUUGUAAAAUAAAUGUUCGUGGAAGUGGCUUCA